rnacentral:rRNA from 1 species
UUCGGAUUGUAGUCUGCAACCCGACUACAUGAAGCUGGAAUCGCUAGUAAUCGCAGAUCAGAAUGCUGCGGUGAAUACGUUCCCGGGUCUUGUACACACCGCCCGUCACACCAUGGGAAUCGGAAAUGCCCGAAGCCAGUGACCCAACCUUAAGGAGGGAGCUGUCGAAGGUGGAGCCGGUAACUGGGGUGAAGUCGUAACAAGGUACC